UACGUAGGGGGCAAGCGUUGUCCGGAUUUAUUGGGCGUAAAGAGCGUGUAGGCGGCCAUACAGGUCAGCUGUGAAAACUCGAGGCUCAACCUCGAGACGCCGAUGGAAACCAUGUGGCUAGAGUCCGGAAGAGGAGAGUGGAAUUCCUGGUGUAGCGGUGAAAUGCGCAGAUAUCAGGAAGAACACCCGUGGCUAAGGCGGCUCUCUAGUACGGUACUGACGCUGAGACGCGAAAGCGUGGGGAGCAAACAGG
rnacentral:rRNA from 1 species